rnacentral:rRNA from 1 species
GACGAACGCUGGCGGCGUGCUUAACACAUGCAAGUCGUACGGUAAGGCCCUUUCGGGGGUACACGAGUGGCGAACGGGUGAGUAACACGUGAGUAACCUGCCCACAACUUUGGGAUAACGCUAGGAAACUGGUGCUAAUACUGGAUAUGUGCUCCUGCUGCAUGGUGGGGGUUGGAAAGCUCCGGCGGUUGUGGAUGGACUCGCGGCCUAUCAGCUUGUUGGUGGGGUAGUGGCCUACCAAGGCGGCGACGGGUAGCCGGCCUGAGAGGGUGACCGGCCACAUUGGGACUGAGAUACGGCCCAGACGCCUACGGGAGGCAGCAGUGGGGAAUAUUGCACAAUGGGCGCAAGCCUGAUGCAGCAACGCCGCGUGCGGGAUGACGGCCUUCGGGCUGUAAACCGCUUUCAGCAGGGACGAAGCUUUUUGUGACGGUACCUGCAGAAGAAGCACCGGCUAACUACGUG